rnacentral:lncRNA from 1 species
CAAUCUCAAUCGCUUUGAUAAGCUCAUAGUCACGCAGUCACUUUAACAAAGUGAUUCGAACAAUAAACAUAACCAGGAGAGACUCUCCUCACGAUUGAAACAUCCCAACAACGCCUUACAACAAGCCACACAAACAGAAACAACUGUGAAGCAAACUAGACAAAAAGACAGAAGAAAAUACAAUCUCACAGACGAAAUUCUAAAACAGAAAUCAACCGCUAACUUUCAAAUCUCUCCAAAUAGAAAGCAUGCCUUGGGUGUUAAGU